UGCAGCACAAAGCCUACCUGGCAAGUGCAAGUUCCUGAAUUUGAUUCCUGGUACCAAAAAAUAAAACAAAACAGAAACCAACCUAACAAACAAAAAAAGGUAAUGUCUGAUAUUAUUUUGUCACAAAUAACAAAGCAGACUGCAAAGAGGAAGCUGAUUUGAUUUUUAUAUGUGAAAACAGUGGAUGAUGAUAGGUUUGUUCAUGAUAUAUAUUUCUAGAUGACUUGUUUAAAGUGCAUAAAGCAAAACCAACAUUGAAAUGGAGACAGUCGUUUGAAAGUUAUUUGAAGACAAUGCCUCCCUACUAUCUUGGGCCCUUGAAGAAAGCUGUUAGAAUGAUGGGAGCACCUAACUUAAUAGCAGAUAGUAUGGAGUAUGGACUCAGUUAUAGUGUCAUUUCAUACCUCAAAAAAUUGAGUCAACAGGCCAAAAUAGAAUCUGAUCGAGUCAUAGGAUCUGUAGGCAAAAAGUAGUACAGGAAACUGGCAUUAAAGUUCGAAGUCGAUCACAUGGCUUAUCAAUGGCAUAUAGGAAAGAUUUUCAACAACUGCUCCAGGGAAUUUCAGAGGAUAUUCCUCAUAGACUUCUAGACCUUAAUAUGAAGGAAUACACGGGGUUUCAGGUUGCUUUACUAAAUAAGGAUUUAAAGCCUCAGACAUUUAGAAAUGCUUAUGAUAUCCCAAGACGGAAUCUUUUGGAUCACUUAACAAGAAUGAGAUCGAAUCUUUUGAAGAGCACCCGCAAAUUUCUUAAAGGACAGGAUGAAGAUCAAGUACACAGUGUUCCUAUAGCACAGAUGGGGAAUUACCAGGAAUACCUCAAGCAAGUACCUUCUCCAUUAAGAGAGCUUGAUCCUGAUCAGCCUCGAAGGCUGCAUACAUUUGGUAACCCCUUUAAACUGGAUAAAAAGGGAAUGAUGAUAGAUGAAGCAGAUGAAUUUGUGGCUGGACCUCAGAAUAAACAUAAACGACCAGGAGAACCAAAUAUGCAAGGGAUCCCCAAAAGACGUCGGUGUAUGUCUCCACUACUACGAGGCAGACAGCAGAACCCUGUUGUGAACAAUCAUAUUGGAGGAAAAGGACCACCUGCACCUAUAACUCAAGCACAACCAGAUCUUAUAAAACCCCUUUUGCUUCAUAAAAGUAAGAAUUUGAACUCAAAGACAUUUCCUGCUUUUUGCUUCUUCUUACAAAAGAGAUUUUAGUUAGGUUUUCAAGGGAGCAUUAUUGCAUUAACAGAAAGACGACUUCAGUUUCAGUUUAAACACAACAACUGAUUAUUAAAAGCAUGUAGAUAUAGCAAAGAGUGAAUAAGACAGUAGUGCUGUGCACCCUCAUUUACAAUCAGCAGGGUAAGAAAGCCAUUGAAUAGAUAAUUAUA
rnacentral:lncRNA from 1 species